rnacentral:rRNA from 1 species
UACGUAGGGUGCGAGCGUUAAUCGGAAUUACUGGGCGUAAAGCGUGCGCAGGCGGUUAUAUAAGACAGAUGUGAAAUCCCCGGGCUCAACCUGGGCACUGCAUUUGUGACUGUAUAGCGAGAGUACGGUAGAGGGGGAUGGAAUUCCGCGUGGAGCAGUGAAAUGCGUAGAUAUGCGGAGGAAAACCGAUGGCGAAGGCAAUCCCCUGGAACUGUACUGACGCUCAUGCACGAAAGCGUGGGGAGCAAACAGGAUUAGAUACCCGCGUAGUCC